UCAGACGAUGCGUCAUGCAUAUCAAUAAGCGGAGGAAAAGAAACUAACAAGGAUUCCCCUAGUGACGGCGAGUGAAGCGGGAAGAGCUCAAAUUUGAAAUCUUAAAGGGUUUCCCUUUACGAAUUGUAGUUUAAAGAAGUGUUUUCUGUUGAGGUUUUGGUAAAAGUUCUUUGGAAUAGGACAUCAUAGAGGGUGAGAAUCCCGUAUUUGACCUUUACUUUCAACUUUGUGAUACACUUUCAAAGAGUCGGAUUGUUUGGGAAUGCAGUCCAAAAUGGGUGGUAAAUUUCAUCUAAAGCUAAAUAUUGGCGAGAGACCGAUAGCGAACAAGUACCGUGAGGGAAAGAUGAAAAGAACUUUGAAAAGAGAGUUAAACAGUACGUGAAAUUGUCAAAAGGGAAGCGUUUGACACCAGUGUUGUUUUUCUGAAAAUCAAUUAAAGAACUGUUUAUGCUAAGCUGUUUAGACUUUAUCAGCUAUACUGUUUAGUUUUGAGCUUUUCUUUAAUGCACUUUUCAGUUAACAAGUCAACAUCAAUUUCUUUUGCUGUAAAAAAGCUUGAGGAAGGUGGCUUGAGAUUCGUCUUAAGUGUUUAUAGCCUCUUGCCUAUGCAGUCGGAGAGAUUGAGGUCUGCAGCGUAGAUCCUUCGGGGCUAAAUGCAUUUGUGCUAAGUUAUAGCAUUUCAUAGACAACUUGUUGACUAUGAUUUGUCUUGUAGCUUACUCGCUUAUGUUAUUUUACCUACGCUUAGGAUGUUGAAUCUGUGCGAGACUAC
rnacentral:rRNA from 1 species